CAGCAGACACAUUCCAGCCAAUCAGCAGCAGACCCUCCCUCCCUCCCAGACCUUCCCACCUCCUGGACAGCAUCCAUUUUGAAGCUGCAUUCUUAGUGAGCUGUCCAGGAGCUGGGAGGGUCUGGGAGGGAGGGUCUGCUGCUGAUUGGCUGGAAUGUGUCUGCU